rnacentral:rRNA from 1 species
UACAGAGGCCUCGAGCGUUAGGCGGAAUCACUGGGCUUAAAGCGUGUGUAGGCGGAUUGCUAAGUACCUUGUGAAAUCCCACGGCUUAACCGUGGAACGGCUUGGUAUACUGGCAGUCUUGAGCCACUCAGGGGCAACCGGAACAAACGGUGGAGCGGUGAAAUGCGUAGAUAUCGGAAGGAACGCCGGUGGCGAAAGCGGCAUCCCGGACCAACACUGACACUGAGGAGCGAAAGCCAGGGGAGCAAACGGG